UUGAGUGUGUUCUACCCCCGCUUGGUACAACUGCUGCGCGACUCACCCCUCCAGCCGAGGAAUUCUAUAGGAAAUAUGCACAGAUAGAACAAUGGAACGUUAAAGAGCAUCAUCCACGUUGUCACUGGAGAAUCCUUCCAGCCAAUCAAAUCAACCGUCUCUUAGGAAUGGUGCGUAGGCGCACUACGAUCCCUCCUGGUUGGUUGACACUGCGUAUGUUCUCCCCCGCGCUGGCUCUCCUGGGAGCCAAUCAAGUUGUCGGAUUCAGAACCGACGAGAAUGGCUGAACGGCAAGAUAUAAAACUGAAGCGCCAGUUGGGAGAACUUUCAUUUCAAGUCUGGUAAAAAUAGCGCGGGGAAAGUACGAAACAGCGAUUACCUUUUUACAGCCCGGAGAAAAGGGGAUCAAGACCGCAAGACAAACAAAAGGAGUUUCAGGCAAAGGUAAG